GACUCAUCAAGCCUUAGCCAGUGCCUUGCAUUCCAUCCUCAUUUCCAUCAGGAGGGAUGGCUGCAGCCCAGCACAGUUCUGGAAUGUUGCUCUGGGAGAAGAAUAUUCUCUGUGAGGCCCAGCAAACUGCAGCCUUAAACCUCCUGAAACAGGUCCUUGGAACAAUUUGCAAGAAUCCUGCAUGUGCAAGGAGGAGAAAGUGAUGAAUGUGUGAGAGUCCAUACUUCAAAUGCCAGGAAAUGGGAGGCCUUGCAUUUCAUCCCUCUUCUUAGCCACCAGCCAGCGACCCAGAGCCCCUGCAGCAGGAGGGCUCCCACACACUCAGCGCAAGUCCAGCAAAGCAUCUCUGGGCUUCAGUUCUACUGAGGGGUGUGCAUGUUUAACAAUGAGAGUUGGCCCAGAGGAAAGAAGUUGCCAAUACAUGCAAAUGUCCACUAGCUUAUGUCACCUCUGCCCCCCACAACGCCACAUAUGUGGCCACGCCUGCCUAUCAAAAUAAUGGGAUAAUUGGGCACAGUGUGUGCCGCCCCCACCCCUUACUGAAAGCAUGCCAGUCGGUCUCUGUGGGAACCCACAGGGAGCAGGCACCAUUUUUCUGGAAUGGCUUCUAUUGACUCAGAACCAACAUUCGAAUGAAAAGACUACUAUUUCCAUCAGAAAACAGAGGUUCGAGAGCCAGCCCUGGUUGCCUAGUGGUUAGAGUUGAGCACUUACCGCCUGGGCAGCUGGGGUCCCAUUCCUGGGAUCCACACCACUUGCCUGUCAGUUGCCAGGCUGUGGCGGUGGCUCACAUGGAGGAACUAGAACAACUUACGACUAGGAUAUACAACCAUGCACUGGGGCUUUGGGGAGGAACAAAAAAGGAAAAAAAAUAGGAAGAUUGGCAACAGAUAUUAGCUCAGGGCAAAUCUUUAAAAAAAAAAAGCAGGUAGGAAAACUCCCACUCGGGUGUCAGGAGGCUUGUGUUCUAAUCCUGCCUCUGCUCUUCCCUGGCCUGGCACAAGUCCCCUCCCCUCUUUGAUUCUGGUUCCCUAUCUGUAAAAAGCAAGAAUUAGGCUCUAUGCUCCCCUCUCUCCUAGCCCUGCCAUGCCGUCAUCACUCUAACUCUCUCCUUGGAGAACGGAGGAAGGACAUUGGCUACAAAAAAGCCUUCUCGUCAUGGCUAAGAAAGCUCAGUGCCUAAAAAAUCGACAAGGGAGUGCAAUACAGGGCAGAGCCGAGAAAUGGAAUUUUGCCUUUGAAUUGUCUCGAGUUGGAUGAUUUCUCUCUCUGCCUGCCUUUGAUACACUCUUGUUCACUGCUCUGCUGUGAUGAAACUUUCUGUGUCAUGGGUGGUUCCAGCCCCUUCGAUCCAUUCAGCUGAUGAUAUUUCCUGAUGUUUCAAAGGCCAAGAGUAUGGGAUGAUGGAGUAUGGUAGAUUUACCUUCUCUCUUCUUUCCCCACCCACCUGGCUCUUCAGCCUCCUCUCCUGUGGAAUCCCUAUUUUGCGUUGUUCCUCAAGGUCCUGGGAUGACAGCAAAUCCCAACUCUGGCUACUGCCCAGGAUAUGGGAGCCCCAGCUCCUGGCUUCCUGGAGAAGCUGGAGAACGGAAAGCCUUCUGUGGUCUCUUGGGGACAUCACCCCCCCUGGUGGAACGAAGAGGAACUUUCCCGGCUUCGGAAAAGCUGGGCAG
rnacentral:lncRNA from 1 species